rnacentral:rRNA from 1 species
ACACAUGCAAGUCGAGGGGCAGCGGGAUUGAAGCUUGCUUCAAUUGCCGGCGACCGGCGCACGGGUGAGUAACGCGUAUCCAACCUUCCGUACACUCAGGGAUAGCCUUUCGAAAGAAAGAUUAAUACCUGAUGGUAUGAUGAGAUUGCAUGAUAGCAUCAUUAAAGAUUUAUCGGUGUACGAUGGGGAUGCGUUCCAUUAGGCAGUUGGCGGGGUAACGGCCCACCAAACCUACGAUGGAUAGGGGUUCUGAGAGGAAGGUCCCCCACAUUGGAACUGAGACACGGUCCAAACUCCUACGGGAGGCAGCAGUGAGGAAUAUUGGUCAAUGGACGAGAGUCUGAACCAGCCAAGUAGCGUGAAGGAUGACUGCCCUAUGGGUUGUAAACUUCUUUUAUACGGGAAUAAAGUGAGCCACGUGUGGCUUUUUGUAUGUACCGUAUGAAUAAGGAUCGGCUAACUCCGUGCCAGCAGCCGCGGUAAUACGGAGGAUUCGAGCGUUAUCCGGAUUUAUUGGGUUUAAAGGGAGCGUAGGCGGGUUGUUAAGUCAGUUGUGAA